rnacentral:rRNA from 1 species
CGUUCAGGCGGUUUGGCAAGUCGGGCAUGAAAUCUCUCGGCUCAACCGGGAGAGGUUGUCCGAUACUGUCAGACUGGAGGGCAGUAGAGGGUGGUGGAAUUCCGGGUGUAGUGGUGAAAUGCGUAGAGAUCCGGAGGAACACCAGUGGCGAAAGCGGCCACCUGGACUGCACCUGACGCUGAAACGCGAAAGCUAGGGGAGCGAACG